UGCCAGCCGCCGCGGUAAUACGGAGGGUGCAAGCGUUAUCCGGAUUUACUGGGUUUAAAGGGUGCGUAGGCGGAAAUAUAAGUCAGAAGUGAAAGCUCACCGCUUAACGGUGGAAUUGCUUUUGAUACUGUGUUUCUUGAAUUGGGUUGAGGUUGGCGGAAUGUGGCAUGUAGCGGUGAAAUGCAUAGAUAUGCCAUAGAACACCAAUUGCGAAGGCAGCUAGCUAGGCUACGAUUGACGCUGAGGCACGAAAGCGUGGGGAGCAAACAGGAUUAGAUA
rnacentral:rRNA from 1 species